UUAACAAAAAUUUGUGUGAAAUUGGAACGUUUGCCUACGUUUGCCGCUAGGGGCGCUGUUCCAACUGCCUACAAAUUUCAGUUA
rfam:Bombyx mori DNA, contig: Bm_scaf52_contig26853, strain: p50T/Dazao, build 2, whole genome shotgun sequence.